CCUACGGGUGGCUGCAGUGAGGAAUAUUGGUCAAUGGACGAGAGUCUGAACCAGCCAAGUCGCGUGAAGGAUGACUGCCCUAUGGGUUGUAAACUUCUUUUAUAUGGGAAUAAAAUGUUCCACGUGUGGGAUUUUGUAUGUACCAUAUGAAUAAGGAUCGGCUAACUCCGUGCCAGCAGCCGCGGUAAUACGGAGGAUCCGAUCGUUAUCCGGAUUUAUUGGGUUUAAAGGGUGCGCAGGCGGAAUGUCAAGUCAGCGGUAAAAUUUCGGGGCUCAACCCCGUCGUGCCGUUGAAACUGGCGUUCUUGAGUGAGCGAGAGGUAUGCGGAAUGCGUGGUGUAGCGGUGAAAUGCAUAGAUAUCACGCAGAACUCCGAUUGCGAAGGCAGCAUACCGGCGCUCAACUGACGCUCAUGCACGAAAGCGUGGGUAUCGAACAGGAUUAGAUACCCUGGUAGUC
rnacentral:rRNA from 1 species